rnacentral:rRNA from 1 species
GACGAACGCUGGCGGCGUGCUUAACACAUGCAAGUCGAACGAUGAAGAAGAGAAACGCGAACUUCGGUUCAAAUUUCACUUCGGAUUAGUGGCAGACGGGUGAGUAACGCGUGAGCAACCUACCCCUCACAAAGGGAUAGCCUCGGGAAACCGUGAUUAAUACCAUAUGACACAUUCAUAAGGCAUCUUAAGAAUGUUAAAGCUACGGCGGUAAGAGAUGGGCUCGCGUCCCAUUAGCUAGUUGGUGAGGUAACGGCCCACCAAGGCGACGAUGGGUAACCGGCCUGAGAGGGUGAACGGUCACAUUGGAACUGAGACACGGUCCAAACUCCUACGGGAGGCAGCAGUGGGGAAUAUUGCACAAUGGAGGGAACUCUGAUGCAGCGACGCCGCGUGAGCGAUGAAGGAAUUCGUUUCGUAAAGCUCUGUUCUAUGGGAAGAAAAGGACUGUACCAUAGGAGAAAGCCCCGGCUAAAUACGUG